ensembl:lncRNA
UUCCUUUGGGGGAGGGGACGCGCGCACAGUUUCGCCUGUUUCGCUCGCGCUGUCUCAUCGCUGUGUGAGAAUGGAGGUUUCAUGAUGUCAGCAGAAGGUCACGUGAGAGCAGGUGGCAACAUAUUUGAGGUUUGCAUUGACUGUCUUUGAAAACUGCUGGACAGAUACUUGCAUAACUACAUGCCAUGUGCCACCAGUCACCCUUCACAAGGGAAGAGGAAACUUCACAUGUGGCUGGAUAGGCCUAGCUCCCUGAGCUCCAGAUUGUAGUUGAAUUACACUAAGGCAGAAGAGGGAAUGCCAUGCUACACCAGCACAUUCCCACAAAAGAUCUCUUUCCUUGGCUUCAGCAAAAUACCGAAAGAGAUUGCAUUCAGGGGAAGGUUUAUCCCUGGCAAACACUGUCCAGAACCCCCGGCGAUAUUGCCAUCUUCUUGUAUUGUAUUCUCCUCUG